GUAUAGUAGGUGGCAAGCGUUGUCCGGAAUUAUUGGGCGUAAAGGGCUCGCAGGCGGUUUCUUAAGUCUGAUGUGAAAGCCCCCGGCUCAACCGGGGAGGGUCAUUGGAAACUGGGGAACUUGAGUGCAGAAGAGGAGAGUGGAAUUCCACGUGUAGCGGUGAAAUGCGUAGAGAUGUGGAGGAACACCAGUGGCGAAGGCGACUCUCUGGUCUGUAACUGACGCUGAGGAGCGAAAGCGUGGGGAGCGAACAGGAUUAGAUACCCUGGUAGUCCACGCCGUAAACGAUGAGUGCUAAGUGUUAGGGGGUUUCCGCCCCUUAGUGCUGCAGCUAACGCAUUAAGCACUCCGCCUGGGGAGUACGGUCGCAAGACUGAAACUCAAAGGAAUUGACGGGGGCCCGCACAAGCGGUGGAGCAUGUGGUUUAAUUCGAAGCAACGCGAAGAACCUUACCAGGUCUUGACAUCCUCUGACAAUCCUAGAGAUAGGACGUCCCCUUCGGGGGCAGAGUGACAGGUGGUGCAUGGUUGUCGUCAGCUCGUGUCGUGAGAUGUUGGGUUAAGUCCCGCAACGAGCGCAACCCUUGAUCUUAGUUGCCAGCAUUCAGUUGGGCACUCUAAGGUGACUGCCGGUGACAAACCGGAGGAAGGUGGGGAUGACGUCAAAUCAUCAUGCCCCUUAUGACCUGGGCUACACACGUGCUACAAUGGACAGAACAAAGGGCAGCGAAACCGCGAGGUUAAGCCAAUCCCACAAAUCUGUUCUCAGUUCGGAUCGCAGUCUGCAACUCGACUGCGUGAAGCUGGAAUCGCUAGUAAUCGCGGAU
rnacentral:rRNA from 1 species